AUGAACGCUGGCGGCGUGCCUAAUACAUGCAAGUAGAACGCUGAAGGAGGAGCUUGCUCUUCUGGAUGAGUUGCGAACGGGUGAGUAACGCGUAGGUAACCUGCCUGGUAGCGGGGGAUAACUAUUGGAAACGAUAGCUAAUACCGCAUGACAACAGUUAUUGCAUGAUAACUGUUUAAAAGGGGCAACUGCUCCACUACCAGAUGGACCUGCGUUGUAUUAGCUAGUUGGUGAGGUAACGGCUCACCAAGGCGACGAUACAUAGCCGACCUGAGAGGGUGAUCGGCCACACUGGGACUGAGACACGGCCCAGACUCCUACGGGAGGCAGCAGUAGGGAAUCUUCGGCAAUGGACGGAAGUCUGACCGAGCAACGCCGCGUGAGUGAAGAAGGUUUUCGGAUCGUAAAGCUCUGUUGCAAGAGAAGAACGAGUGUGAGAGUGGAAAGUUCACACUGUGACGGUAUCUUACCAGAAAGGGACGGCUAACUACGUG
rnacentral:rRNA from 1 species